rnacentral:rRNA from 1 species
UACGUAGGGGGCUAGCGUUGUCUGGAAUCAUUGGGCGUAAAGCGCGUGUAGGCGGCCCGGUAAGUCCGCUGUGAAAGUCGGGGGCUCAACCCUCGGAUGCCGGUGGAUACUGUCGGGCUCGAGUACGGAAGAGGCGAGUGGAAUUCCUGGUGUAGCGGUGAAAUGCGCAGAUAUCAGGAGGAACACCAAUUGCGAAGGCAGCUCGCUGGGACGUAACUGACGCUGAGACGCGAAAGCGUGGGGAGCAAACAGG